rnacentral:rRNA from 1 species
GACGAACGCUGGCGGCGUGCUUAACACAUGCAAGUCGAACGGAAAGGCCCUGCUUUUGUGGGGUGCUCGAGUGGCGAACGGGUGAGUAACACGUGAGUAACCUGCCCUUGACUUUGGGAUAACUUCAGGAAACUGGUGCUAAUACCGGAUAGGAGCUCCUGCUGCAUGGUGGGGGUUGGACAGUUUCGGCGGCUGGGGAUGGACUCGCGGCUUAUCAGCUUGUUGGUGGGGUAGUGGCUUACCAAGGCUUUGACGGGUAGCCGGCCUGAGAGGGUGACCGGCCACAUUGGGACUGAGAUACGGCCCAGACUCCUACGGGAGGCAGCAGUGGGGAAUAUUGCACAAUGGGAGGAAGCCUGAUGCAGCAACGCCGCGUGCGGGAUGACGGCCUUCGGGUUGUAAACCGCUUUCGCCUGUGACGAAGCGUGAGUGACGGUAAUGGGUAAAGAAGCACCGGCUAACUACGUG